rnacentral:tRNA from 1 species
AAACAGAUAGCUUAAAUAAAGCACAGCACUGAAGAUGCUGGGAUAGGUUCACCCUUUUGUUUG